rnacentral:rRNA from 1 species
UACAGAGGUCUCAAGCGUUGUUCGGAUUUACUGGGCGUAAAGGGCGCGUAGGCGGCCACCGCAAGUCGACUGUGAAAUCUCCGGGCUUAACCCGGAAAGGUCAGCCGAUACUGCGGGGCUAGAGUGCAGAAGGGGCAACUGGAAUUCUCGGUGUAGCGGUGAAAUGCGUAGAUAUCGAGAGGAACACCAGUGGCGAAGGCAGCUCACUACACGAAUAUUGACACUGAGGCACGAAAGCGUGGGGAUCAAACAGG